UGAGCAAUCUGCCCUUCUCAUCGGAAUAAGCGUUGGAAACGACGUCUAAUGCCGAAUACGACCUCCUUUCGCAUGAUCGGAGGUGGAAAGCUCCGGCGGAGAAGGAUGAGCUCGCGGCCUAUCAGCUAGUUGGUGUGGGUAACGGCCCACCAAGGCGACGACGGGUAGCCGGCCUGAGAGGGUGACCGGCCACACUGGGACUGAGACACGGCCCAGACCUCCCGUACGGGGAGGCAGCG
rnacentral:rRNA from 1 species